rnacentral:rRNA from 1 species
CAGCAGCCGCGGUAAUACGUAGGGUGCAAGCGUUAAUCGGAAUUACUGGGCGUAAAGCGUGCGCAGGCGGUUUUGUAAGACAGACGUGAAAUCCCCGGGCUCAACCUGGGAAUGGCGUUUGUGACUGCAAAGCUGGAGUGCGGCAGAGGGGGAUGGAAUUCCGCGUGUAGCAGUGAAAUGCGUAGAUAUGCGGAGGAACACCGAUGGCGAAGGCAAUCCCCUGGGCCUGCACUGACGCUCAUGCACGAAAGCGUGGGGAGCAAACAGGAUUAGAUACCCUGGUAGUCCACGCCCUAAACGAUGUCAACUGGUUGUUGGGUCUCUUCUGACUCAGUAACGAAGCUAACACGUGAAGUUGACCGCCUGGGGAGUACGGCCGCAAAGGUUGAAACUCAAAGGAAUUGACGGGGAACCCGCACAAGCGGUGGAAUGAUGUGGUUUAAUUCGAUGCAACGCGAAAAACCUUACCCACCCUUUGACAUGUACGGAACUUGCCAGAGAUGGCUUGGUGCUCGAAAGAGAGCCGUAACACAGGUGCUGCAUGGCUGUCGUCAGCUCGUGUCGUGAGAUGUUGGGUUAAGUCUCGCAACGAGCGCAACCCUUGUCAUUAGUUGCUACGAAAGGGCACUCUAAUGAGACUGCCGGUGACAAACCGGAGGAAGGUGGGGAUGACGUCAAGUCCUCAUGGCCCUUAUAGGUGGGGCUACACACGUCAUACAAUGGCUGGUACAAAGGGUUGCCAACCCGCGAGGGGGAGCCAAUCCCAUAAAGCCAGUCGUAGUCCGGAUCGCAGUCUGCAACUCGACUGCGUGAAGUCGGAAUCGCUAGUAAUCGUGGAUCAGCAUGUCACGGUGAAUACGUUCCCGGGUCUUGUACACACCGCCCGUCACACCAUGGGAGCGGGUCUCGCCAGAAGUAGUUAGCCUAACCGCAAGGAGGGCGAUA